GACGAACGCUGGCGGCGUGCUUAACACAUGCAAGUCGAGCGGUAAGGCCCUUUCGGGGUACGACGAGCGGCGAACGGGUGAGUAACACGUGGGUGGACCUGCCCUCAGCUCUGGGAGUAAGCCUGGGAAACCGGGGUCGUAAUACCGGAUAUGACUCCAUGACGCAUGUUGUGGGGUGGAAAGCCUUGUGCGGCUGAGGAUGGGCCCGCGGCCUAUCAGCUUGUUGGUGGGGUGAUGGCCUACCAAGGCGACGACGGGUAGCCGGCCUGAGAGGGCGACCGGCCACACUGGGACUGAGACACGGCCCAGACUCCUACGGGAGGCAGCAGUGGGGAAUCUUGCGCAAUGGGCGAAAGCCUGACGCAGCGACGCCGCGUGAGGGAUGACGGCCUGG
rnacentral:rRNA from 1 species